AAGUCGUAACAAGGUUUCCGUAGGUGAACCUGCGGAAGGAUCAUUACAGAGAGGAGCUCCGCGCUCCAGGGGGUUCGCCCCCGCCUCUCAACCCUGUGAAAACAUACCUUUGUUGCUUUGGCGGGCCUUGGGGUCAUGCCCAUGCCGGGCCUUACCGCCCGGCGCGCGCCCGCCAGAAGCCCACCAAAACUCGUUUAAAUAUGUCGUCAGAGUCUAAACACAAAUAAAGCAAAACUUUCAACAACGGAUCUCUUGGUUCUG
rnacentral:misc_RNA from 1 species